AGGGAAUAUUGCAAAAUGGGCGAAAGCCCGAUGCAGCAACGCCGCGUGGGCGAUGAAGGCCUUCGGGUCGUAAAGCCCUUUUUGAGGGGAUGAGGAAGGACAGUACCCUCAGAAUAAGCCUCGGCUAACUACGUGCCAGCAGCCGCGGUAAAACGUAGGAGGCGAGCGUUAUCCGGAUUUACUGGGCGUAAAGCGCGUGCAGGCGGAUUGGGGAGUUGGAUGUGAAAGCUCCCGGCUUAACUGGGAGAGGUCGUUCAAUACUUCCAGUCUAGAGUGCAGUAGAGGGAAGUGGAAUUCCGGGUGUAGUGGUGAAAUGCGUAGAUAUCCGGAGGAACACCAGUGGCGAAAGCGGCUUCCUGGACUGUAACUGACGCUCAGACGCGAAAGCUAGGGUAGCAAACG
rnacentral:rRNA from 1 species